rnacentral:rRNA from 1 species
CAGUAGCCGCGGUAAUACGUAGGUGGCAAGCGUUGUCCGGAAUUAUUGGGCGUAAAGGGCUCGCAGGCGGUUUCUUAAGUCUGAUGUGAAAGCCCCCGGCUCAACCGGGGGGGGUCAUUGGAAACUGGGAAACUUGAGUGCAGAAGAGGAGAGUGGAAUUCCACGUGUAACGGUGAAAUGCGUAGAGAUGUGGAGGAACACCAGUGGCGAAGGCGACUCUCUGGUCUGUAACUGACGCUGAGGAGCGAAAGCGUGGGGAGCGAACAGGAUUAGAUACCCGGGUAGUCCCUGUCUCUUAUAC